GCGACGCCGCGUGAGGGAUGACGGUUUUCGGGUUGUAAACCUCCCUCGCCAGGGACGAAGCGUAAGUGACGGUACCUGGAGAAGAAGCACCGGCCAACUACGUGCCAGCAGCCGCGGUAAUACGUAGGGUGCGAGCGUUGUCCGGAAUUACUGGGCGUAAAGAGCUCGUAGGCGGUUUGUCGCGUCGUCUGUGAAAUUCUGCAACUCAAUUGCAGGCGUGCAGGCGAUACGGGCAGACUUGAGUACUACAGGGGAGACUGGAAUUCCUGGUGUAGCGGUGAAAUGCGCAGAUAUCAGGAGGAACACCGGUGGCGAAGGCGGGUCUCUGGGUAGUAACUGACGCUGAGGAGCGAAAGCGUGGGGAGCG
rnacentral:rRNA from 1 species